GAAGUGAUUCUGUCUAAGCUUUAAAGUACUCAUCAUCGUUACAGUGAAAAACUAUUUCAACGUGUGGACUAAUCUUAACAGCUGUAGAAGCACUAUCUGGAUGAAAGUCCUUUUAUAACAGCAUGAAUGCCAGUUCUUUCAGGAUCCAGACUUGCUUGUAAGAGUUUGCCAGCCACUGAACAUCUGUAAGGAGAACAAGACAAUUGCGAGUAAACACUAAUAAAUUUUGAGAUAUCAAUCAUCUCUGUCAAGCAACUCAAGGAAGGCUUUCUUUGGAUGAGUGGUAGUACGCCAUUAUUUUCCUCACUUUCCAUGGAGUUACUUUCUGGUACAAAAAAGCUGAGACAGAAAUAGAGGAAUACAACUGGAUGCUCAUGCCAUACCUGAGGGCUUGACCUGCCUCAUUGUUGCAGUGCCGAAGGCUUGGUUGAUCAGCAUCCGUGAUGAGGGCUAUGAGAGCGCACAGAUAGCUGGAUCAAAGGGUCUUCCUGGAAAUAGGCGCACUUAG
rnacentral:lncRNA from 1 species